AGGUGUGUGUGUGUGUGUGUGUGUGUGUGUGUGUACGUGAGUGUGGUGCUAAGACUCAGAAGAACUAAGGAGAAACACAGAGUGACCAGUCCUAGGCCAGCGAUUCUCCCCCAGAGCCCAUCAGACCUUGUCUCCGCAAUGUGGACCUCGACCUCCUCCGCCCACAGCAGCUAGAAUGGCUCUGAGGAGGAAAUGGGGAGUGGUAAACACUCAUGUGCCUUGGGUGGGGGGAUGUCAGUGCCCCUGUAACAGAGAGCAGUACGGGCAGUCCUCAGGAGACUGAAAAAUAAGCUGGUCAUAUGACUCUGGUACCCAACCACUGUGCAGCCGAAGGAAAUGGAAGCGGUGUGUAGCGGACACCUACACCCAUGCUCGCCACAGCGCUAGUCACAGCAGCCACGGUAUGAAAUACGAUUCUGAAAGGAUAGGACCAGGGUCCUCGACAGCCAAAGAGCCAAGACCGAGGGAAAACAGAAACUGACGUCUCAAUAUGGCACCUGUGACUGCAUGGGAAAGGCGAUGGGGAAUUGAAUCUCCUUGGGUCAAAUAGCCAAGAAUCAUGCUGCACGAAAGGGGCCUCAGCAAGCUUGCUGUGCUCAGGAUGGGAAGAGCCAGGGAGGAGUAUUGUAUGAAAUUUUGUUUGCGUUCUGACAAAUAAAGCUUGCCUAGAGAUCAGAGAGCCGAGCUAACCACUAGUUAAGCCUAGAAAGCCAGGCAUUGGUGUCGCACACCUAUAAUCCCACCCAGCACUUGGGAGGAAGAAGCAGGAAGAUCAGGGCUUCAAAGUCACUCUGGGAUACAUGAGAUUGAACUUGUCGAAAAGAGAAACCGAGCCCCAUGGUGGUGGCUCACACCUUUGGUCCUAGCACUUGGGAGGCACAAGCCUUUAAUCCCAGCGCUAGGGAGGUGGAGACAGGAAUAUAAGGAGGGAUCUAAGGCCCAUUCAGUUUGAAGAUUCAUAGAGAUAGGAGCCUCUCCCAAUUCAGUCUGAGGAUUCAUGGAGACAGGACCCCCAGCCAUUUAGUCUGAGGAUUCAUGGAGACAGGACCCCCACUCAUUCAGUCUGAGGAUUCAUAGAAACAGGAGCCCCCAUUUGGUCUGAGAUUUAGUAGAGGAAAGAGGUUUCUGGUGGCUGCAGCUCUGCUUCUCUGGUCUUUGAACCCUAA